GAAAAUGACAUGAGUUCAGUGGCGCACACUCACAUGAGUUAGCUAUGUUCCUUUUCUUUUUUGAAGACAUUGGAAUUGUCCGGUUGGAAUAUUACUGAAGAUUUAUGAUAAAAGCAUCCUAAAGAUUGAUGCUAUACAUCGUUUGACAUGUUUCUACGAACCUUUCAAAACAGCAUCAGACCAAACACUACUCACUCAGUUCCAGGUUGGUGUAACGGCUGUCUUCGUCGUCCUCAGAUGAAGGGGAAGAGAAAUCAGACCAAAAUGCAGCGUGGCUGCCAUGAGCUGGUUGCUGGCGGGCUAAUCCAGGGGCAGGCUGCUGACGGGCUGGUCCUGGGGCUGGCUGAGGGCCAAUCUCAUCCUCUUCCAAUUCACUGUCAGACUCCAAUUUGACAGAGACAUGAUCCUCAUAUUCGGAAAAUUCUUCAUCUUACAAAGUGGAAGACGAUCCUUCCACACUAACUUCUCUCUCUACAAAAAUUAUUUCUAAGUCCCUCUGAGCAGAGAUUAUUUUUGCCAUACUGAUUGAUUGUGGUAAGGAGCCACACAUGCAAAGCUAUUUAUUUGUGUCCCUCCCCCAAUUUGCACCUGGCUGUGUGUGGGAAAAUACAGCAUUUCUUACAAUGUAUUGUAAUAACAUUGUGCAGGUUCCCGCAAGACAUUGUGUAGUUUCACACAGUACAAAGGGUAAAGAGUGCGAGAAAAGCAAGAGACAGGCAGAGAGACAGACAGGAUAUUGGUGCUAUGUUGAAACAACAGGCCCAGGGAGGAGGAAGAAAGAGUGAAGGCACACAGCAAACCUUUUUGCUCAAUUUUGACAUGUUUUCACCUACACACACACUUUUCCACACUUUUAUUACCCUCGGGUCCAGUGGACCCGGACACCACAUAUGUAAUAUAAAUAUGUAGGGAGGUCCGGUGCACCAGAACACCACAUAUGUAAUAUAAAUAUGUAGGGGGGUCCAGUGGACCCGAACACCACAUAUGUAAUAUAAAUAUGUAGGGGGGUCCAGUGGACCAGAACACCACAUAUGUAAUAUAAAUAUGUAGGGGGGUCCAGUGGACCCGAACACCACAUAUGUAAUAUAAAUAUGUAGGGGGGGUCCAGUGGACCAGAACACCACAUAUGUAAUAUAAAUAUGUAGGGGGGUCCAGUGGACCAGAACACCACAUAUGUAAUAUAAAUAUGUAGGGAGGUCCAGUGGACCAGAACACCACAUAUGUAAUAUAAAUAUGUAGGGAGGUCCAGUGGACCAGAACACCACAUAUGUAAUAUAAAUAUGUAGGGAGGUCCAGUGGACCAGAACACCACAUAUGUAAUAUAAAUAUGUAGGGAGGUGCACAGUGUGCACUCAAUGAAAAUGUGUUAUUUGACAUGUUCUUCACAGAAAAUGAGCCAAGGCCAAUGAGUCUCAGGUUGAAAUAAUGAUUCAUUGUAUCAUUUUUCUUUGAGUAAACAUUGAAAAUGGGUCCCACAUACCCGACCACCACACAAGGGUUAAGAAUUGUACGUUUUUGCACCAACUUGCCAUGUGGCUCCGUUUUUGGAGGAUUGUGGGUAACAUUUUAACCUCUCUAGGGUAUGUGGGACGAAAUCGUCCCACCUACUCAACAGCCAGUGGAAUCCCGUGGCGCGAUAUUCAAAUACCUUAGAAAUGCUAUUACUUCAAUUUCUUAAACAUAUGACUAUUUUACACCAUUUUAAAGACAAGACUUUCGUUAAUCUAACCACACUGUCCGAUUUCAAAAAGGCUUUACAACGAAAGCAAAACAUUAGAUUAUGUCAGCAGAGUACCCAGCCAGAAAUAAUCAGACACCCAUUUUUCAAGCUAGCAUAUAAUGUCACAUAAACCCAAACCACAGCUAAAUGCAGCACUAACCUUUGAUGAUCUUCAUCAGAUGACACUCCUAGGACAUUAUGUUAUACAAUACAUGCAUGUUUUGUUCAAUCAAGUUCAUAUUUAUAUAAAAAACCAGCUUUUUACAUUAGCAUGUGACGUUCAGAACUAGCAUACCCACCGCAAACUUCCAGUGAAUUUACUAAAUUACUCACGAUAAACGUUCACAAAAAACAUAACAAUUAUUUUAAGAAUUAUAGAUACAGAACUCCUUUAUGCAAUCGCUAUGUCCGAUUUUAAAAUAGCUUUUUGGCAAAAGCACAUUUUGCAAUAUCUGAGUAGAUAGCUCGCCAUCACGGGCUAGCUAUUUUGACACCCACCCAGUUUGGCACUCACCAAACUCAGAUUUACUAUAAGAAAAAUUGGAUUACCUUUGCUGUUCUUCGUCAGAAUGCACUCCCAGGACUUCUACUUCAAUAACAAAUGUUGGUUUGGUUCAAAAUAAUCCAUAGUUAUGUUCAAAUAUCCUCUGUUUUGUUCAUGCGUUCAAGACACUAUCCGAAGGGUGACGCGCUCGGCGCGUAUCGUGACCAAAAAAUUCUAAAUAUUCCAUUACCAUACUUCGAAGCAUGUCAAACGCUGUUUAAAAUCAAUUUUUAUUCGAUUUUUCUCGUAAAAAAGCGAUAAUAUUCCGACCGGAAAACCCUGUUUUCGUUCAAAGACUAAAAUCUAAAAUGGACUCUUCACGUGCACGCGCGCCCCCGUCUCAUUGUUCUCAGAUCGACCACUUACCAAAUGCACUACUGUUUUUCAGCCAUGGCCUGCAAAGUCAUCAUUCAACGUUCUGGCGCCCUCUGAGAGCCUAUGGGAGCCGUAGGAAGUGUCACGUUACAGCAGAGAUCCUCAGUUUUCAAUAAAGAGAGUGUAGAAGGCCAAGAAAUGGUCAGAGAGGGCACUUCCUGUUUGGAAUCUUCUCAGGUUUUUUUCCUGCCAUAUGAGUUCUGUUAUACUCACAGACACCAUUCAAACAGUUUUAGAAACUUUAGGGUGUUUUCUAUCCAAAUCAAACUAUAAAUCAAAUUAUAUGCAUAUUCUAGUUUCUGGGCAGUAGUAAUAACCAGAUGAAAUCGGGUACGUUUUUUAUCCGGCCGUGCAAAUACUGCCCCCUACCCUAGAGAGGAAUGAUACCUUUACACAAUGUUGUAUGCAUGUUUGAAGAAAGAAAGUACAUUUCUAUGUUAGUAUGAAGUAGCUUGUUGUGCUAUGAGGUGUAAUGGAUCAGGAUGAACGGAUAUCAGAACUGUCAGGCAAACUGACAUUCACUGAUCUGACCACCCAUUCCCACCAUCAGCUAGUCCACAUGCAUCACCCUUAAUAUCAGAGGCAAAUGCAGCAUCCAACAAGGCUUGCAGCUCUACCUCCACUUACUGCAAGUGGAAUGAGCACUGUGUUCAACAAUGCCUGUUAAAGUGGGUUAAAAUGACUAAUAAUCAGAAACAUAAAAGAACGGUAAACAAAUGUAAAACUGAAAGUAAGAUUAAAGUAGAUCUGACGAAUAAAAACAGUUUUGGAAUUGAUAAAAUGAAGUUGGACAUAAGCCAUUUUUUUAUGCUGGACUUAAUAUAUGAGUGUUUGUGAAACAGCAAAAGUUAAGUAGGUAUACCGUAUAUUAUACAUAAGAAUACCUCAUUUUUGAAAUACUCAAAAAGCUGAUGCAAAUAGUUGUUAUAUUUUAAAAGUAGAACUAGCACAAUAUUUUGUACAAUGUAUGUGCACGUUUUUAUCCAAAUUCGUGUGUACGUUAGCGUGUUGUCACGUCCUGACCAGUAUAAGGUUAAUUGGUAUUGUAGUUUGGUCAGGACGUGGCAGAGGGUAUUCGUUUUAUGUGGUUCGGGGUGGUGUGUUUUGUUGAAGGGGCAUUUGGUUUAAGUAUUCCGGGGUUUUUGGGCACUGUUUGGUUUUCAGGUAUUCUAUGAUUUUGUCUAGUAUGUCUGUUUCUAUGUUUGGUUAAUUGGGGUUGGGACUCUCAGUUGAAGGCAGGUGUUGUCUAUCUGCCUUGGAUUGAGAGUCCCAUAUAUGAGGGUGUGUUUGUUAUUUGUGGGUGAUUGUUCUGUGUUGAGCGUUAUGCUUUGCCAGACUGUUUGUUGUUCGUUAGUUCUUUGUUAUUUUGGUGUUCAUUUUGUAUUUAUUAAAAAGCAAGAUGAUCAUACACAUACCUGCUGCGUUUUGGUCCUCCAUUUCCAACGACAAGUGUGACGCAUGUGAGCUUGCAUGUUCAUGUGUACGAGUGUGUAUAUUUAUUUGUGUGUGUGUGUGUGAGGGGGAGGCAGUAGGUUCAUCCUGU
rnacentral:lncRNA from 1 species